GACUUCCUAUUACCUGACUUCUUGAGUUCUUUCUUAUUCUCCAUCUCUAAUCGUUGGUUUGUUUUGUUGUUUUGGUUGACGACAAACAAGUUGUUCUUUCUUUUAUUCUCUUUUGGUGGCAAAUAGGUUCUUUUAUUCUCUUGUUGAAUAUUUUUGUUGUCACUAUUUUUUUAAUCUAUAUUUCUUUGUUAUUGUUUAAUUAUUAUCUUGUUUGGUUACUGUUUGAUUAUUGUCUUGUUUGUAUCUAUUUGUUUAUUCUCUUGUCUAAUUUUAUUGGCAAACAUCUUUUAUUCUAUUUGUU
rnacentral:lncRNA from 1 species